rnacentral:rRNA from 1 species
AUAUUACUAAGCGGAGGAGAAGAAAUUAACUAAGAUUGCCUUAGUAAGGGCGACUGAACCGGCAAGAGCUCAAAAUUGGAAUCGGAAAUUCAACGAAUUUUCGAAUUGUAAUCAGGUGCGCCUAAAUACGAGAGUUUGUUUAAGUACGUCGAAUCGUACGCCAAGGAGGGUGAAAGCCCCGCGUAGCAUUCUCUCGAGUAAGGUGAACCCAAAAGAGUCGGGUUGCUUGGAACUGCAGCCUAAGCGGGAGAUAUGAAUCUUCCAAAGCUAAAUAUGGAUGGGAGACCGAUAGCGCACAAGUA